UACGAAGGGGGCUAGCGUUGCUCGGAAUCACUGGGCGUAAAGGGUGCGUAGGCGGGUCUUUAAGUCAGGGGUGAAAUCCUGGAGCUCAACUCCAGAACUGCCUUUGAUACUGGAGGUCUCGAGUCCGGGAGAGGUGAGUGGAACUGCGAGUGUAGAGGUGAAAUUCGUAGAUAUUCGCAAGAACACCAGUGGCGAAGGCGGCUCACUGGCCCGGAACUGACGCUGAGGUGCGAAAGCGUGGGGAGCAAACAGG
rnacentral:rRNA from 1 species